UAUAGGAGGCGAACCCGCUGAACUGAAACAUCUAAGUAGGCGGAGGAGAAGAAAACAAAAGUGAUUCCGUAAGUAGUGGCGAGCGAACGCGGAAUAGCCCAAACCAAAGUUGUUACGGCAAUUUUGGGGUUGUAGGACCACGACAUUUCUUGCGGAUUGAAUUAGAAUUACCUGGAAAGGUAAACCAAAGAGGGUGAUAGUCCCGUAUAAGUAAGAGAAGAUAAGAAUAGUGGUAUCCUGAGUAGGUCGGGGCACGUGAAACCCUGAUUGAAACUGGCGGGACCAUCCGCUAAGGCUAAAUACUCCUGAGAGACCGAUAGUGAACCAGUACCGUGAGGGAAAGGUGAAAAGAACCGUGAAUAACGGAGUGAAACAGAUCCUGAAACCAUACGCCUACAAGCGGUCGGAGCCCUUAAGUGGGGUGACGGCGUGCCUUUUGCAUAAUGAGCCUACGAGUUACCGUUGCUGGCAAGGAUAAGUGAUUAAGUCAUGGAUCCGUAGCGAAAGCGAGUCUUAAUAGGGCGCUUUAGUCAGUAGUGGUAGACGCGAAACCGUGUGAUCUACCCAUGGGCAGGUUGAAGUUUAGGUAACACUAAAUGGAGGACCGAACCGUUUAACGCUGAAAAGUUUUCGGAUGACCUGUGGGUAGGGGUGAAAGGCCAAUCAAACUCGGAAAUAGCUCGUACUCCCCGAAAUGCAUUUAGGUGCAGCGAUAAUCGAUAGUUACUUAGAGGUAGAGCUACUGAUUGGAUGCGGGGGCUUCACCGCCUACCAAUUCCUGACAAACUCCGAAUGCUAAGUAAUGAUAAUUAUCAGUGAGGGCAUGGGUGCUAAGGUCCAUGUCCGAGAGGGAAAGAACCCAGACCAUCAGCUAAGGUCCCCAAAUGUAUGCUAAGUUGAAAAAACGCGGUUUGAUUGCCCAGACAGCUAGGAUGUUGGCUUGGAAGCAGCCAUUCAUUUAAAGAGUGCGUAACAGCUCACUAGUCGAGCGAUCGAGCAUGGAUAAUAAUCGGGCAUAAGCAUACUACCGAAGCUAUGGAUUUACGUUUUAACGUGAGUGGUAGGGGAGCAUUCUAACGGGGUAGAAGGUGAUUUGUGAGAAUUGCUGGACCUUUUAGAAAAGAAAAUGUAGGCAUAAGUAACGAUAAGGGGUGCGAGAAACACCCCCGCCGUAAGACUAAGGUUUCCUGAGCUAUGCUAAUCAGCUUAGGGUUAGUCGGGACCUAAGGCACACCCGAAGGGGGACGUCGAUGGCCAACGGGUUAAUAUUCCCGUACUACUUAUAAUUGUGAUGGAGUGACACAGUGAUGAAAGCACCGCGAACUGACGGAAUAGUUCGUUGAAGCACGUACCUAUUGGUUUGAUAGUAAAAUGCGUCAGACUAGGAGAAAUGCGAUAGUACUUUGAGUCUUCGGACAACGAGAUAGUGUGCCUAAGGGCUGUCAAGAAAAGCUUCUAAACUUAGAUUAUAAGUACCCGUACCGUAAACCGACACAGGUAGUCGAGGAGAGUAUCCUAAGGCGCUCGAGAGAUUCAUGGCUAAGGAACUAGGCAAAAUAGACCUGUAACUUCGGGAGAAAGGUCGCCAGCGCAAGCUGGCCGCAGUGAAAAGGUCCAGGCGACUGUUUAUCAAAAACACAGGGCUCUGCAAAAUCGUAAGAUGAAGUAUAGGGCCUGACACCUGCCCGGUGCUGGAAGGUUAAGAGGAGAUGUUAUC
rnacentral:rRNA from 1 species